UACGUAGGGUGCGAGCGUUGUCCGGAAUUAUUGGGCGUAAAGGGCUCGUAGGCGGUCUGUCGCGUCGGGAGUGAAAACUCAGGGCUUAACCCUGAGCCUGCUUCCGAUACGGGCAGACUAGAGGUAUGCAGGGGAGAACGGAAUUCCUGGUGUAGCGGUGGAAUGCGCAGAUAUCAGGAGGAACACCGGUGGCGAAGGCGGUUCUCUGGGCAUUACCUGACGCUGAGGAGCGAAAGCGUGGGGAGCAAACAGG
rnacentral:rRNA from 1 species